UACGUAGGGCGCAAGCGUUGUCCGGAAUUAUUGGGCGUAAAGAGCUCGUAGGCGGCUUGUCACGUCGGGUGUGAAAGCCCGGGGCUUAACCCCGGGUCUGCAUUCGAUACGGGCAGGCUAGAGUGUGGUAGGGGAGAUCGGAAUUCCUGGUGUAGCGGUGAAAUGCGCAGAUAUCAGGAGGAACACCGGUGGCGAAGGCGGAUCUCUGGGCCAUUACUGACGCUGAGGAGCGAAAGCGUGGGGAGCGAGCAGG
rnacentral:rRNA from 1 species